rnacentral:rRNA from 1 species
GACGAACGCUGGCGACGUGCUUAACACAUGCAAGUCGAACGCUGAAGCUCAGCUUUUGUUGGGUGGAUGAGUGGCGAACGGGUGAGUAACACGUGAGUAACCUGCCCCCUUCUUUGGGAUAACGCCCGGAAACGGGUGCUAAUACUGGAUAUUCACUGGUCUUCGCAUGGGGGUUGGUGGAAAGGGUUUUUCUGGUGGGGGAUGGGCUCGCGGCCUAUCAGCUUGUUGGUGGGGUGAUGGCCUACCAAGGCUUUGACGGGUAGCCGGCCUGAGAGGGUGACCGGUCACAUUGGGACUGAGAUACGGCCCAGACUCCUACGGGAGGCAGCAGUGGGGAAUAUUGCACAAUGGGCGCAAGCCUGAUGCAGCGACGCCGCGUGAGGGAUGGAGGCCUUCGGGUUGUGAACCUCUUUCGCUCAUGGUCAAGCCGCAACAAUGGUUGUGGUGAGGGUAGUGGGUAAAGAAGCGCCGGCUAACUACGUG